GGGGCCGGUGUCGCCGGUGGCAACACCGGCGAAGGUCCAUUGGUUGUGUCAAGUGGCAUAAUGCUUGGGACCACCACAUGUCCAUGUGGCACCUUAUUCUCUUUGUUCCUUUGGUGAGUUAAAGUUCCAAAGCAUUUAUAAAUGCUUUAAAGGAUGUCUCCACUUUCUAUGUGGGACUUAAAGCAAAGCAUUAAAUGCUAUUUAACUCUUUUGUCAUUUUGGAACUAAUAUUGCAAAACAAUUUCCA
rnacentral:lncRNA from 1 species